rnacentral:rRNA from 1 species
UACGAAGGGGGCUAGCGUUGCUCGGAAUUACUGGGCGUAAAGCGCACGUAGGCGGAUCUUUAAGUCAGGGGUGAAAUCCUGGAGCUCAACUCCAGAACUGCCUUUGAUACUGGAGAGCUUGAGUCCGGGAGAGGUGAGUGGAACUGCGAGUGUAGAGGUGAAAUUCGUAGAUAUUCGCAAGAACACCAGUGGCGAAGGCGGCUCACUGGCCCGGUACUGACGCUGAGGUGCGAAAGCGUGGGGAGCAAACAGG